rnacentral:rRNA from 1 species
AGAGCACAGGGUGGAUGCCCAGGCACCAAACGCCGAUGAAAGACGUGGCAAGCUGCGAAAAGUCACGGGGAACCGCAAGCAGGUAUUGAUCCGUGAACGUCUGAAUGGGGAAACCCGGCGGGUUAACAGCCCGUCACUAUUAACUGAAUCAAUAGGUUAAUAGGGGGAACGCGGGGAACUGAAACAUCUCAGUACCCGUAGGAAGAGAAAAUAAAGAAUGAUUUCCUAAGUAGCGGCGAGCGAACGGGAAAGAGGCCAAACCGAAGGGCUUGCUCUUCGGGGUUGUGGAUCAGCGAUAAGGACGGAAGACCUUAGCAGAAGAGGAUUGGAAAGUCCCGCCAGAGAGGGUAAAAGCCCCUUACGCGAAAAGGUCAAACGACGAGCUGACACCAGAGUACCGCAGGACACGAGAAAUCCGGUGGGAAGCCGGGAGGACCACCUCCCAAGCCUAAAUACGAAUUGGUGACCGAUAGCGCAUAGUACCGUGAGGGAAAGGUGAAAAGAACCCCGGGAGGGGAGUGAAAAAGAACCUGAAACCCUGUGUUUACAAGCAGUGAAAGUGCAAGCAAGGCACGAUCACGUACUUUUUGUAGAACGGACCGGCGAGUUACGUUAUGCAGCAAGGUUAAGAACUGAAGGUUCGGAGCCGAAGCGAAAGCGAGUCUGAAUAGGGCGAUAGUUGCAUGACGUAGACCCGAAACCGGGUGACCUAUCCAUGAGCAGGUUGAAGUGGAGGUAAAGCUCCAUGGAGGACCGAACCAGACGUCUGUUGAAAAAGGCGGGGAUGACUUGUGGAUAGGGGAGAAAUUCCAAUCGAACCCGGAGAUAGCUGGUUCUCCUCGAAAUAGCUUUAGGGCUAGCCUCAUGGAUCAUUGGUGGGGGUAGAGCACUGAAUGUGCGCGGGGGCCACAAAGCCUACCAAACGCUAUCAAACUUCGAAUACCAUACAAUGCAGACCAUGGGAGUCAGUCCGCGAGAGAUAAGUUCCGCGGGCAAAAGGGGAACACCCCAGAUCAACCGCUAAGGUCCCAAAGUUCACGUUAAGUGGAGAAGGAUGUGGAAUUGCACAGACAACCAGGAUGUUGGCUCAGAAGCAGCCACACAUUUAAAGAGUGCGUAAUAGCUCACUGGUCGAGUGAUUGUGCGCCGAAGAUGUCCGGGGCUAAACGUGACACCGAAGCGAUGGGUGCAUCUGAAAGGAUGCGCGGUAGAGGAGCAAUGUGCAGAGGCAGAAGCCGUAUCGAGAGGCACGGUGGACACUGCACAAGAGAGAAUGCCGGUAUGAGUAGCGAGAGGCAUGCGAGAAACAUGCCCGUCGAAAGCCCAAGGUUUCCUGGGGAAGGUUCAUCCGCCCAGGGUAAGUCGGGGCCUAAGCCGAGGACGGAAGUCGUAGGCGAUGGACAGCAGGUGUAGAUUCCUGCACUACCGAUGGAAUGAAGCAGUGACACAGAAGGAUAACUCGAGCAGGGUGAUGGUCAACCCUGUGCAAGCAUCAAGGUUGGGUUGUAGUGAAGUACGCAACCCUACAAGCUGAGGUGUGAUGCGGACCGAAAUUUCAGUAGGGAAGCGAGUGAGUUCACGCUGGCGAGAAAAGCUGCUAGUAUAUCCAAAGGUACCCGUACCGGAAACCGACGCAGGUGGGCGAGGAGAGAAUCCUGAGACGAACGGGAGAACCCUUGUUAAGGAACUCGGCAAAAUGACCCCGUAACUUCGGGAUAAGGGGUGCCUGCGAGAGCAGGCCGCAGAGAAUAGUCACAAGCGACUGUUUAGCAAAAACACAGGUAUCUGCGAAAGCGAGAGCUGACGUAUAGGUGCUGACACCUGCCCGGUGCUGGAAGGUUAAGGGAACAUGUUAGAGCAAUCGAAGCAUCGAACCGAAGCCCCAGUAAACGGCGGCCGUAACUAUAACGGUCCUAAGGUAGCGAAAUUCCUUGUCGGGUAAGUUCCGACCCGCACGAAUGGUGUAACGACUUGUGAGCUGUCUCAACAGGGGGCCCGGUGAAAUUGAAGUAUGGGUGAAGAUGCCCAUUACCCGCGACUGGACGGAAAGACCCCGUAGAGCUUUACUGCAGCCUGAUAUUGAGUUUCGGUAACUGAUGCACAGGAUAGGUGGGAGUCUGAGAGACAUGGGUUUCGGCUCAUGUGGAGACGGUGUUGGGAUACCACUCUUCGGUUACUGAAAUUCUAACAUAGCUCUGUGAAACCAGAGGAUGGACAGUGUCAGGUGGACAGUUUGACUGGGGCGGUCGCCUCCGAAAGAGUAACGGAGGCGCCCAAAGGUACCCUCAGAAUGGAUGGAAACCAUUCGAAGA